UACGGAGGGUGCGAGCGUUGUCCGGAAUCACUGGGCGUAAAGGGCGCGUAGGCGGCGCGGGAAGUCAUCGGUGAAAGUUCAGGGCUCAACUCUGAAUCGGCCGGUGAUACUCUCGUGCUUGAGCACUGUAGAGGCAGGUGGAAUUCCGGGUGUAGCGGUGGAAUGCGUAGAGAUCCGGAAGAACACCGAUGGCGAAGGCAGCCUCCUGGGCUAGUACUGACGCUCAUGCACGAAAGCGUGGGGAGCAAACAGG
rnacentral:rRNA from 1 species